rnacentral:rRNA from 1 species
GAGAGGUCCGAGCGUUACGCGGAAUUACUGGGCUUAAAGCGUACGUAGGCGGAUCUACAGGUAUCCUGUGAAAGCCCACGGCUCAACCGUGGAAUUGCAGGGUAAACCGUAGAUCUUGAGGUGGCUAGGGGCUCUCGGAACGGUAGGUGGAGUGGUGAAAUGCGUUGAUAUCUACCGGAACGCCAAAGGGGAAGCCAGGGAGCUGGGGCCAUUCUGACGCUGAGGUACGAAAGCGUGGGUAGCGAACGGGAUUAGAUACCCCGGUAGUCCACGCCGUAAACGAUGUGCACUAGGUCGAGGGGGUUUGACGCCGCUCUCGGCUGAAGCGAAAGUGUUAAGUGCACCGCCUGGGGAGUACGGCCGCAAGGCUAAAACUCAAAGGAAUUGACGGGGGCUCACACAAGCGGUGGAGCAUGUGGCUUAAUUCGAAGCAACGCGAAGAACCUUAUCCUGGGUUUGACAUGUAUGGAUUAGCUUUCUGAAAGGGAAGUGACGCGGUUUACCGUGGAACAUACACAGGUGCUGCAUGGCU